rnacentral:rRNA from 1 species
AGUGAACGCUGGCGGUAGGCCUAACACAUGCAAGUCGAACGGCAGCACAGUAAGAGCUUGCUCUUACGGGUGGCGAGUGGCGGACGGGUGAGGAAUACAUCGGAAUCUACUUUUUCGUGGGGGAUAACGUAGGGAAACUUACGCUAAUACCGCAUACGACCUACGGGUGAAAGCAGGGGAUCUUCGGACCUUGCGCGAUUGAAUGAGCCAAUGUCGGAUUAGCUAGUUGGCGGGGUAAAGGCCCACCAAGGCGACGAUCCGUAGCUGGUCUGAGAGGAUGAUCAGCCACACUGGAACUGAGACACGGUCCAGACUCCUACGGGAGGCAGCAGUGGGGAAUAUUGGACAAUGGGCGCAAGCCUGAUCCAGCCAUACCGCGUGGGUGAAGAAGGCCUUCGGGUUGUAAAGCCCUUUUGUUGGGAAAGAAAAGCAGCAGGUUAAUACCCCGCUGUUCUGACGGUACCCAAAGAAUAAGCACCGGCUAACUUCGUGC